GUAUAGGUAAUUUCUGCUUUGUUCGGGGACUCUCUGGCUUAUCAUGGAGAAAAACAAGCUCCAGCCUCGUCUCCUCCUGCCAUGAACAGCCAAAUGUUGCCAUUGCCGACUAACAUUUCAAUGAAUCAGAUGAAAUGUGGGGAGGUACCUGGCACAGUCAGCAACAGAACAGGUGUGUUCCACUUGGAAGAAUUUGUAAGAUCCAGCAGCUGCCAAGCUCAUGAGAGGAAGCUGUUAUAUGCAAACUUAUCUGCCAGGUACGGCUGGAGGAGAUAUAAAGAUGAUCAAGAGACAGUCUUUGCUCUCAAGGACCUUAUAAUCUGGUCAGAGUCAGUCUUCAUUAUCUUUGAAAAACACUCGGAUAAUGUCUCCGCGAUGGAUGGUGAGUUCAUCUGAUCGAUUCGCUGUGUAGUCAUAAAGAGCCACUACCUAAGAGAGAGAUAAGACCACCACAGCUUUAUCACAACUGUACCACAGAGAAAACCCCCAACAUUCACUUCCUCUUGCAGAAGAGCAGCUGAAACCAAAGCAGUACUUUGAGACAGAGGUGGCUGCUAGGAAGAAGAGCAGGAGAGAUUCAGCUUGGGCAACAGAAUCAUUAGAAGUCCCAUAUCAGGUUGAAGCCCUAACCAUCAAUGUGACUGUAUUGGGAGAUAGGGCCUUUAAAAAGGUAAUUAAAGUUAAAUGAGGUCAAAUGGAUGGGGCCCUAAUCCACUGAAACUGGUGUCCUUACAAAAAGAUGAAAUGCCAGGAGCACCUAUGCACAGUGAAAAAGGCCAUUUGAGGACACAGGGUGAAGGUGGCUGUCUGGAAGCCAAGGAGAGAAGCCUCAGGAGGAACCAGUCGACUGGCUCCUUGAUCUUGGACUUUAGAACCGUAAGCAAAUAAAUUUCUGUUGUUUAAAUCACCUAGUCCAUGGUAUUUUGUUAUGGCAGCCCUGGCAGACUAAUACAGUUCUACAACCUGACAGUGUUAGAUUAAUCACUCACUAUCAGCCUGUCAUGACACUGCAAAUGGACAAUGCCUCACUUGUAUCCAUUUUAGGUCUUUACCAGUUUACAGUACUGUGUUCCACACUAUAAUAUCAUCUCCUGAUGUAAAAACAAUGUUCUUGUCAAAAAACUCCACAACCAACAUCCUUAGGAGGGUAAUGGUUGGGGAGGCUAUGUCCCCCAAAACAAAGGAACAGUCCUUGGAGCAUGUCACCAUCAUAGCAUUACUGACAUGUAAAUGCAAAAUUGUUAUACAGUGAGAAAUCAGCGUGUUUCACAUGCCAAGAGUCCACAUUCUGGCAGUGGAGUUAUGACCAUUCUCUCAUCAUACUGAAGGCACACAACAAAAGCCACAUGGCUCAUAAGAAUCUGCUUGUAUUCCAGUGUGUGUUAUUAUUUCAUUUUUGAAGACACCUUUCUCACUUCUGGGCAACACAGUAUGUGCAGUAAACUUCUCAGCUUGUUUUAAUUUGGUGAUAGAUACUGCAUAAAUUACGCCUUCCUCAUCUCCAAUUAGAUUGUUAUUGUUUUACUGUUUUAGGGUAAAGUAAAGCUCUAUAAAAAAGUCGGGAAACAAUCCCAUCAAAGAGGUUUGUUUUGAAAUAAUACUAUUUCUAUUUUCUCCCUAUUCUGGUAGAUGUUGUCAUAGAAAAUCUGUCUGGACCACUCUUUGAUGAGUAUCUUCUUCAGCAUACCAUCCCUUGCACACAGUGGUCUGGCAUAUAGGUAUGACAGAAUAUUCUCAGCAAUAUGAUUUGAAUCUUGAGCUGAGAGAGCAGUUAUGAAAUCUUUCUGCAACAGAAGUUUAACAGCUGAAUUUCUAUGUCCAAGUUGGUAAUGACAGGUCUAGGAAAUGAAAUGUUCCACAAAACCUACCUGUUCAAAUUUGACCAUUAUUCACGUAUUUUAAACAGAGUUUCUUCUUUCUCAAAAGUUGUUAAGUUGCUUGGGUAUAAUCAUGGUGGAAGUGCCCCUGGCAAGUUUUUUUUUGUACAUACAUUUUUGUCUUUAUAGCAGUGCUUGCCAGAUACUAUUUCUUGGUUUAAGCAGUCUGCCAGGCUGUUAUAAGACAUUUAAAUGAAUUCCAAUGUACAUUAUCUUCUGAGAGAUUUUUCAUUAUUAUCGUUGUCUCAAUGGUUCUUGAAAUCAGUUUACUGAAGGAAUGUUAGCCAGUAGUGUUUGUCAGCAAAUGUUCCUUACAACUUUAUCUAUAAUACAAUUUAAAAAAUCAAUAUUCAUAAUGGCCCCAAGUCAUCCAACAAGCUAAAUUAUGUUGAACAAACCCAUAUACCUAAGCACUUUCUCCUCCAGCACUGUUACAGCUGGGUCCAUGGUCACUGGGGAACUUUGCACCAUUUGCAGCCAAAGUGGCUUCUGGAUCCUACUACCUUCCUUCUUGCUCCUUACUUGAUUUUAAAUUGCUGGUUUCCAGACAGUGAAAGAAUAAAUUUCUAUUAUUGUAAGCCAUGGCAAAUUUGUGGUAAUUUGUUAAAACAGCCCUAGGAAACUAAUAUAUGUAAACUUUACAUUGGUGAAUGGAUUUUUUUUGUGUUCUUUUAGAGUAUUGAACCCUCUUCUGGCAUCAGUUACAUGAGAUCAGUUUGACCCUUUCCAGGUUUGCUUUUAAGUUUUGUUAGAGCAGAUUCAGGAAGACUUUACUCUAGGGCUCAAUAAACUGUACUACCAGGGUGUGAUCCUUCUGAUAAUUCUACCUGAUGCAACAUAUAUUAGGUUUUCUCAUUCUGGCUGUCAGGAAUGUGAAUUAUUCUCAUUCUGUUUUGCAGUCUACACUUCGGAUAAAAAUUUCCUCAUAGAGUUCUACCCCAUGCAUGUACAGAUCAAUUACUCAGCCAUAGACUUAUUAGAGGCAAUUCUUAUGGUUAUUGGCAGGAUUAUUACCAACUUCCAAUAUAAGGUGAAACAAAAAGUAAUAUCUUAGUAAUUAUAUUAUUUUUUUGCCAGAAGCCUUUGUACAGUUAAAGCCUUUGUACCAUUAACUAAAAUGCAUGCAUUUUUAGUGUCCAUGAUAAAUGCAGUUAUCACCUUAUUGAACUUCUGGCAUUCUUUAAGAAAGUACAUUAAGCUUUAGUAUCAAAGUAUUUAGGUAAACCUGUGCUUAAGUGGUAAGAAAACAUUUGUUCUUUUUUUGAUUUUAAACAUUUUCUCCUCAUACAUAGCCCAUCUCUUAUAUGCUUGGAGUUACCUUUGGCUAUGUAGCUGGCCUUGUUAUUUUACCACUAUCGAUAUACUGUAAUAGAAAGCAAUUUACAUACAAGAACAAUUAAUUGAGCAAAGGGAGAAGAUAUUUCCUUGUGCAGAUUCUGUAAGAACUGCAGAAAUAUCUUUGUAUGGUCUAAACCAGGCAGUUUCAUUUAUAGCACUGUUUUUUAUGUACUUACAACAUAAUGUGAUGUAGCUUUUUAAACUAUGGAACCCACUGUGAUUGUACCUUCUAGUUGAAAUAAAGUAUUAAUAACUGAUUUGUGGCUGCAGAUGCUAUUUGCUGUUUCUUGGAUGUUUAGGAAAC